rnacentral:rRNA from 1 species
UACGUAGGGUGCAAGCGUUAAUCGGAAUUACUGGGCGUAAAGCGUGCGCAGGCGGUUAUGUAAGACAGAUGUGAAAUGCCCGGGCUUAACCUGGGAACUGCAUUUGUGACUGCAUGGCUAGAGUUUGGCAGAGGGGGGUAGAAUUCCACGUGUAGCAGUGAAAUGCGUAGAUAUGUGGAGGAACACCGAUGGCGAAGGCAGCCCCCUGGGUCAAGACUGACGCUCAUGCACGAAAGCGUGGGAGCA